GACGAACGCUGGCAGCGUGCUUAACACAUGCAAGUCGAACGAAGAGCGACGGAGGCUUGCUUCCAUCCAUCUUAGUGGCGAGCGGGAGAGAAACGCGUAAAAAACCUGCCCAUGAGAGGGGGACAAUCGGCGGAAACGACCGAAAAUACCGCAUAAGAUCUAAUCUCGGCAUCGAGGAGGGAUGAAAGGUGGUGUCGACACGUAAGGAAGCACUGAAGGCGGAGAAUGCGGCUGAUUAGGUAGUUGGGUGGGAAACGGACCACCAAGGCGAGGAUCAGUAGCCGGUCUGGAGGGAGGGACGGCCACAUUUGGACUGGGACACGGCCCCGGCUCCUACCGGAGGCAGCCGUUGGGAAUCUUUCGGCAUGGACGGAAGGCUGGCGGGGCAACGCCGCGGUGGUGAUGACGGCUCUCGGGUUGUUAAGCUCCGUUUAUCGGGACGAAAGGACUUCUUGCGAAUAGUGAGAAGGAUUGACGGUACCGGAAUAGAAAGCCACGGCUAACUACGUG
rnacentral:rRNA from 1 species